rnacentral:rRNA from 1 species
UACGAAGGGGGCUAGCGUUGCUCGGAAUGACUGGGCGUAAAGGGCGCGUAGGCGGAUGGUACAGUCAGAUGUGAAAUUCCCGGGCUCAACCUGGGGGCUGCAUUUGAUACGUGCUGUCUUGAGUUCGGAAGAGGGUCGUGGAAUUCCCAGUGUAGAGGUGAAAUUCGUAGAUAUUGGGAAGAACACCGGUGGCGAAGGCGGCGACCUGGUCCGAGACUGACGCUGAGGCGCGAAAGCGUGGGGGAGCAAACAGG